GCUGAAAAUACCAGUUCUUGUUUGAUCCCUGAAGUUAGGUAGUGUUGAGCCUGUUUAGUACUUAGAUGGGGGACGGUUUGGGAACACCAUGUACUGUAA